ACUUGUUGGUGGCGGAUCUGGAUGGCAGCUUGGAGUUGGAGCUCAAGGAGCAGUUGUUGUCAUAGUCCAGGCAUCAUCUUUGGAGAUCCGAGCAAAGAAAGAUGACUUUGCUUCUGUAGUUGGAAAGAAUGUAAACUUGUAUGCAGAUCCAUUUCCAUCAUGGAGAAGAGUUGCUUGGUCAGCAGAUUGCUCAAUGGUUGGAGUUGCUUAUAGUUCUGGUGCUGUAGAAAUCUUCAACACACUUGGUACAUCUAUCUUCACUAUUUAUCCCCCAAGAUUCCGUGAAGGAGUAACCCAGCUUGACACCAGCAAUGCCCUUGCAGCACUUCUCUUCUGUGAUAUUAGAACUCAGAAAAUCAAAUGGGCAUCAGAGCUCAUCUUGAUUGAUUAACAAGGGAA